rnacentral:rRNA from 1 species
CCUACGGGCGGCAGCAGUGGGGAAUAUUGCGCAAUGGGCGAAAGCCUGACGCAGCGACGCCGCGUGAGGGAUGAAGGUCUUCGGAUCGUAAACCUCUGUCAGCAGGGAAGAAAGGUCACUGUGCUAAUCAGCAGUGAAUUGACGGUACCUGCAAAGUAAGCACCGGCUAACUCCGUGCCAGCAGCCGCGGUAAUACGUAGGGUGCGAGCGUUAAUCGGAAUUACUGGGCGUAAAGCGCUCGUAGGCGGUAUGGCAAGACAAGGGUGAAAUCCCCGCGCUCAACGUGGGAACUGCCUUUGAAACUGGAAGACUGGAGUGUGUGAGAGGAUAGUGGAAUUCCAGGUGUAGGAGUGAAAUCCGUAGAUAUCUGGAGGAACACCAGUGGCGAAGGCGACUAUCUGGGACAUAACUGACGCUGAGGAGCGAAAGCGUGGGUAGCAAACAGGAUUAGAUACCCGUGUAGUC